rnacentral:antisense_RNA from 1 species
CUUCACCGCCCCCAGGUACAGCGGUUUCCUGCGGCUCUGCCCGUAGGUGGCGAGGAGGGCCUGUGCCUC